UUUUUUUUGGGGGGCGCGAUGGGGACCCCGAGGGCCCUCCUGCCCCUCCCCCUCCUGCUGCUCGCGACCCUCGGCUGUGACGUCACGCCCCGGGACCCCCCCACGGAUGGGACCUCUGAGAUGUCGGAGACCGAGUUGGUGUGCGGCCGGCCGGCCCCUCCCCGCUGGUGCGGAACGUGGGG